GGGUUUCUCUGUGUAGCUUUGCGCCUCUCCUGGAACUCACUUGGUAGCCCAGGCUGGCCUCGAACUCACAGAGAUCCGCCUGGCUCUGCCUCCCGAGUGCUGGGAUUAAAGGCGUGCGCCACCACCGCCCAGCUUGUUUUGUUUUUUUGAGACAGGGUUUCUCUGUGCAGUUUUGGUGCCUGUCCUGGAUCUCGCUCUGUAGCCCAGGCUGGCCUCGAACUCACAGAGAUCUGCCUCCCUCUGCCGAGUGCUGGGAUAAAAGGCGUGCGCCACCAUCACCCGGCAAUUUUUUUUUUUGGUAGGCCAAUUGGUCUUGAACUCUCAAAGAUCCACCUACCUCUGCUUCCCAAAUGCUAGGACGUGUGACCCACAUGCAACUUCAAUUUCUGAUAGUUUGGAAAGGGUAGGGGAGUGACUUGUCUCAAAAGAACAAAAAUAGGUCUCAAAAGAAAACACAGGUCAAACCUUUUAUUUAGCAGUAAAGAAUGGAGCUUAAAAUGCAAGUGAACAGUUGUCACAAACCAGUUUUAUUCUGGUUUUUAUUCUGCGUUUUUAAAGGUCAAACAGUUCCUCCCACACUCUAAUAACUUGGAAUUUAUAUUAGCUCUCUGUAGAUUUACAGAGGGUGUUAACUGGCAAAAUCUAACUUAAUCCAUGAAAGCUACACUAAUAUAAGGAGUCAGUCAUUCAAUCAGUGAAGGUUUUGAGAAGGAUUAUUUGAUAUGGAAUUCCAAAUAGUAAUAAAAAGCUGAUUCACUUUUAAUGUUUCUGCCCCUUGGCUUGGUAGUCUUCUAGCUCAAUUUUUUUUAAUCAUUUUUUUUUUUUUUUAAGUGUCGGUAGGACCCCAGCAUUUACUAUCUUGCACCACUUUUCAGUAUCAUAGUGUCGAAAAAAGAUUCUGCAGUAGUCAGAGCCCAAUUGACUACGUGCCCAGAAAUCUAAGCAGAAGCAAGGGCUGUAUCCCUUUCCACCAAAGAGGUUUAUAAUGAGUGACGGCAUUCAGCCCAAUCCAACGAUGAUCUUCCCAGCUUCCGCACCAACCUCGAAACUCACUGCGAGCACGUCCCAAAGGCGCACGCAUUUUAACUGCCCCAAACGAGAAUCCGCGCCGUUCCCUUCAGCCUCUAGACCUUGAAGAUUUACCCAGAGGGCUUUGGUUUGCAUCCGUGGCCAAAGCGCAUUUCCGUACCCACUUGCAUUGAGAACAUGGUACGAGCAUUUUUCUCUUAUAACGAUAACUUGAGCUGUCCACGGUGGCAGCGGGAACCCAGGUUCCCUAGCUCACGGACUGCGGCUCCGGUGACUCCGCCCCGUAGCAAGGACGGAAGCAAAGGACUACAGAGCGGAGGAUUCUGGGGGGAGGAAGUGACGCCAGGCGCAAAGCAUGCUGGGCUCAGGCGGGCCGACUCAAGACCGCUCGGUGGCGUGUGAGCCAAGUGGGGAUGUAUCGUUGCGCUCCUGGGGUGUUUUCCUCGGUUGUCGCGAAUAAGCAGCUGGCCCCAAACCCCGCGGAGACUCUGGUCUACAGAGAGUAGUUCUAGCCAGCUGGUAACCAUGAGUGAAUGGACGAAGAAAAGCCCCUUAGAAUGGGAAGACUACGUUUAUAAAGAAGUCAGAGUGACAGCCAGUGAGAAGAAGGAGUAUAAAGGAUGGCUUUUAACUACAGACCCAGUCUCUGCCAACAUUGUCCUCGUGAACUUCCUUGAAGAUGGCAGCUUGUCUGUGACUGGAAUUAUGGGACACUCUGUUCAGACGGUGGAAACGGUGUGUGAAGCGGACUCCAGAGUAAGGGAGCAGCUGGCACAUCUGUUCACAUCUGGAGAUUGUAAAGGGUACAGCCCCGAGGAUCUGGAAAAGAGAAAGAACAGCCUAAAGAAGUGGCUGGAGAAGAACCACAUCCCGGUCACCGAACAGGGAGAUGCACAAAGGACUCUCUGUGUGGCUGGGGUCCUGACGAUUGACCCACCAUAUGCUCCAGAAAACUGCAGCAGCUCCAAUGAGAUCAUUCUGUCCCGCAUUCAGGAUCUUAUUCAAGGCCAUCUUUCAGCUUCCCAGUGAGAGGCCGGGCCCUGUGAACGCACUGAUCCAAAUGACUUCACUGUUCGGUUUUGUGUUAAAUGCUUCGAAUGGCCGUCAGUUGGAGUUCCAGGACCUGCAGAGGCAGUCUCCCAAAGCUGGCUCCGUUUCCUGCCGGGUCUGGAUGGCAGCCAAGGCUGUCUUUGAACAUGAUAUCAACAAUACUUUUAAAAAAACAAAAGACUUGGCCUGGAGAGAUGGCUCAGUGGUUAAGAGCACAAACUGCUCUUCCAGAGGAUCUGGGUUUGAUUCCUAACACCCACGUGAGUUGGCACACAACCAACUCUUAACUCCAGUUCCAGGGAUAUCUUAACACUGGCCUGUGUGGGCACCUGCACUCACAGGCACACGCUUACCCACAUACACAUAAUUUAAAAUGAGAAAAAUAAAUUGUUAAGGCUUCGGGGGCAUUCAUUCAGCUUUUACAACUUUAUUUAUAUAUUUUUUUUAAUUUAAAUUUUGUUGUUGUUGUUUUGAGACAGGGUCUCACUAUGUAGUUCUGGCUGUUCUGGAACUCACUAUGUAGACCAGACUGUCCUUGAACUCACAGAGAUCAGCUUGCUCUGUCUCCCAAGUGCUGAGAUUAAAGGCCUGGCUUGAGCUUUUCAAAAAGUUGUUUUAGAAGCAAAGUUUUUAGUAAUUCCCUUCCUAUGCAGUUUGUCUGAUUUCCUAAAUAUUCCCACUGUUUCCUAGAGACAUUAUGGCUGAAAUAGAUUUUUCACAAAUGAAAUUUUUUAAAUUAUUGGAGCUGGUCAGGUGUCUCAACAGGUAAGGACACUUGCCACCAAGCCUGAUGACCUGAGUACCACAGAGUUGAAGCAGAGAAUUGACUCCUGUAAGCACCCUACCCCCCCCAAUAAAUCUAAAAAUAAAAUUGUUAGAAAAUUAGAAGCCUUCACAGUCAACUGUUAAUUUCUAGAGUGUUGAUGGAAAUGUGGGAUGCUUUGAAACAGAUUGUGGGAUGCUAGUAUGGGCUAAGGAUUUCUAUCUAAUUCCUGCCAAGAACUUGGGAGAAAUCAGCAUAUUGGGGGGCUAAGUUAUACAUACUUAAUUGUUCCUACUUCCAAAUAUAGUUGAUUUUUAUAAAAUAUUAGUAAGAGAUUUUGUUUGCUUGUUUGUUUUAUGAAAAGUCUCCCAGCUCAGUGAGUAAUGUGCCCGUUGCAGAAGCAUUAAGAGCUGAUGCUGGGACUCCAGCAUUCAUGUCUGAUGUGGAGACACGAACCUGGAACCCCAGUCCUGGGUUGCUGAGUCAGGCAGAACCUAGGCCUUGCUGGUAGCCAGCCAGUCUAGCUGAAAUGCCAAGUUCUAGGUUUAGUGGUAGAUCCUGUCUUGAACAUUAAUGAAGGUGGGGACUGGAGAGAGAGCUCAGCAGUUAAGGGCACCUGCUGUUCUUACAGAGAGCCCACAUCCGUGGCUUCCAACUGCUGGUAGCUCUCAGAAGAAGGGUUCAGAUGCCCUUCUCUGGCCUCCAUGGGCACCCGCACGGUGUGGUACACAUACAGAUAUUCAGUACAUACAUAAAUGUUUAAAAAAAUCUAAGAUGAGAAGUGAUUGAGGAAGACAUCCUCAAUCAACCUCUGAGCUCAGUCUACCUCCCUCAUGCACACGUGUGUAUACUACACACAAACAUGUCGGAUGAGAAACUAUUUCCUGGUGGUUUUACCACCCUGCUUUAUCUAUUUCUUUGUUCCUUUUUCUUUUCUCCCACUCUCUCUCCUUUCUCUCUCUCUCUCUCUCUU